AUAGUGACCCCAGUCUCACCCAGCCAUGGCUCCCUUACCACAUUACACACCACAGACAUUCAAGAUUUGACAGCAGUGGGAUGGAUAAAGGCUGCAUCUUUUUUCUCUACUUCAGUGGGACAAGUUUUCAUCUUUAUGAGACUUCUUACUGGCUAUGGGAUUUAGGAGAUGAUACACAUCCUUUCAAUAAAAUGAGCUGUAAUGCAGAUACUCUGCCCAUUCACAAGAAGUUUACCAGAGUUACCACAGCCAAAGAGUAAGACAAGCAAGGAACAUGAGAGGGAAAUGGAGCAUCUGGAGACUCUCUGGACCUACAUGAAGGUUUUCCACUCCUGUGAUGAGCACCAGCUCCCAGGCACCUGCGGUUAUCUGGGCCAUGGAGUCACCUCAGCACCUUGCCCCCCCAGCCUUCAUUCCACCACCACCUAAUCCCAUCACUGCUGCUCCCAGUACCACCUCAGCACCAGACACGAGGACACAAAGGACAGGGGACACCUUGGGCUUGAUGUCUUUUCAUGGUGUCCUCUGGGAAGAGCUAUCCAUUGUGUAGUUUAUCAAAUCAAUAGAUGCCAUUAAUAUCUCUGGUAGGAUGCAAUUGUAUAUCAGCACUGCUUGCAUCUGCUGUCAGCCAGAUGUCUGGGAGUUGUUUUAUUCUACAGAAAGAUUCAGGUCUGGCUGUUCAAUCAGUAGAAUGUUCAGUGUGUGCAAUCCCAUAGACCAGCACAUUAAACUCAAAAACAUCUAAUGCCACAGACUUACAUAUUAUACGUCUAGUCCUGAAGAGCAGCAAAAUUCACAUGAUGUAAAUGCUGGAGACGUAGCUAUUUAAAACCAGAAAGCUUCUGUGCCUUUAAAACAGCUAAACUCUACUUUCAGUGUUAUGCUUUACUAAAUAUUGUGAUGGGAAAGUUAAUGGGAAAGGACUAGGUGAGCCAGGGGAGGGAGUCACUUUUCUUUUUAUCAGCAGAUCUAAAAUUAUUCUACUUUCAUGGUUGUUUUAAGAUAUUUUGUCGACAGCAUUUUUCAAAGCAAAAUACCACCGCUGCCCUGACAGACCAAUUAUAUUCCCUUACAAUGUCCUACAGGCAUAUGAAUUAUGAACCAGCACAGUUCUGCCUGCCUCUAUAGACAAACUGAACAUGCAUAAUAUUGUGUUUCCCCCAUUUGCGUGACUCGGUGUGCCCUCUGGUGGCAUUUCUUCCCAACAACAUCGCUGUGUGCUCCAACCUCCCAUGCUGGGAAUGCCCGGGGCCAGCACUUCUGCAAAUGCAUAGAAUGGAGAUUUCAGGAAAGAGAAGAAAAGUAAGGCAAAUGCAGCCUCCAUCGGCUUAGUGGUAGAAGACCGCACCUGAAAUGCACAGAUCAGCACAGAGCUGCUGUUCCACCACAGCCCAGUCGCUUCUGUCAUUCAUCCCUGAAGUUCUGAUGUAGUUUGGUGCUGAUUUAUUCUUUGAAAAUCAGCACACUUGGAAAAAUGAAACGUGAAGAGCUGAUGUUGUUAACAGAACUGCAUUGCUGGA